UACGUAGGUGGCAAGCGUUGUCCGGAUUUAUUGGGUUUAAAGGGUGCGUAGGCGGUCUUAUAAGUCAGUGGUGAAAUACGGCAGCUCAACUGUCGAGGUGCCAUUGAUACUGUAGGACUUGAGUACAGACGAGGUAGGCGGAAUUGACGGUGUAGCGGUGAAAUGCGUAGAUAUCAGGAAGAACACCCGUGGCUAAGGCGGCUCUCUAGUACGGUACUGACGCUGAGACGCGAAAGCGUGGGGAGCGAACAGG
rnacentral:rRNA from 1 species